rnacentral:tRNA from 1 species
GGCCUCGUGGCCCAAUGGCAAGGCGUCUGACUACGAUUGAGUACAUCAGGAGAUUCUGGGUUCGACCCCCAGCGAGGUCA